AUUGAACGCUGGCGGAUGCUUAACACAUGCAAGUCGAACGCGAAAGUCCUUCGGGCGAGUAGAGUGGCGGACGGGUGAGUAACGCGUGGGAAUCUACCCUAGAGCGGGGGACGAACCCGGGGAAACCCGGGCUAAUACCGCAUACGUCCUACGGGAGAAAGAGGGCCUCUGCUUGCACGCUCUCACUCCAGGAUGAGCCCACGUCCGAUUAGCUAGUUGGUAGGGUAAAGGCCUACCAAGGCCACGAUCGGUAGCUGGUCUGAGAGGAUGAUCAGCCACACUGGGACUGAGACACGGCCCAGACUCCUACGGGAGGCAGCAGUGGGGAAUAUUGGACAAUGGGCGCAAGCCUGAUCCAGCAAUGCCGCGUGUGUGAAGAAGGCCUGCGGGUUGUAAAGCACUUUCAGUGGGGAAGAACAGAUUCGGGUCAAUACCCCGGAGCCCUGACGUUACCCACAGAAGAAGCACCGGCUAACUCCGUGCCAGCAGCCGCGGUAAUGUGUG
rnacentral:rRNA from 1 species